rnacentral:rRNA from 1 species
UACGGAGGGUGCUAGCGUUGUUCGGAAUCACUGGGCGUAAAGCGCGUGUAGGCGGCCCACUAAGUCUGAUGUGAAAGCCCGGGGCUCACCCCCGGAAGUGCAUUGGAAACUGGUGGACUCGAGUCCCGGAGAGGAGGGUGGAAUUCCUGGUGUAGCGGUGUAAUGCGUAGAUAUCAGGAGGAACACCGGUGGCGAAGGCGGCCCUCUGGACGGUGACUGACGCUGAGACGCGAAAGCGUGGGGAGCAAACAGG